CCCCUAGAUGUUCUGGGCCGCACGCGCGCUACACUGAACAGUUCAACAAGUCUUAACCUUGGCCGAUAGGUCUGGGUAAUCUUUGAACGCUGUUCGUGAUUGGGAUAGACCUUUGCAAUUAUGGGUCUUCAACGAGGAAUUCCUAGUAAACGCAAGUCAUCAGCUUGCAUUGAUUACGUCCCUGCCCUUUGUACACACCGCCCGUCGCACCUACCGAUUGAAUGGUCCGGUGAAUAAUUCGGACUGCAGCAGUGUUCAGUUCCUGAACGUUGCAGUGGAAAGUUUAGUGAACCUUAUCACUUAGAGGAAGGAGAAGUCGUAACA
rnacentral:rRNA from 1 species